GCUGACGAUAAUAUCAUCGCGGCGGCGGCGGCGGCGGUGGCGGACGAACAGACGGACGACAGAUAAAAAAAAAAAAAAUAAAUAAACGGGAAAAACCGGCGACGGUUGUACGAUGAAUAACAACAAUUGUACGUUAAUUAUUAUUGUCCCGGCGAUUCGGUUAGCGCGCGACGGCGAAUACGCGGCCGACUGUUCGCAGACCACUGAAACGGCGACGGGGAGAGAAUCGCGGUCGGUCUGCUGCGCGGUGGGCUGCCGUGGCGCGACGACGGUGAACGGUGACGCGGUGACGGUGUG